rnacentral:tRNA from 1 species
GGGGAUGUCGCCAAGCGGUAAGGCAUCGGACUUUGACUCCGACAAGGGCUGGCUUUACCACCCGCUCGUAGGUUCAAAUCCUACCAUCCCUGCCA